rnacentral:rRNA from 1 species
UGGGGAAUUUUGGACAAUGGGCGAAAGCCUGAUCCAGCAAUGCCGCGUGCAGGAUGAAGGCCCUCGGGUUGUAAACUGCUUUUGUACGGAACGAAAAGCCUGGGGCUAAUACCUCGGGGGGAUGACGGUACCUGAAGAAUAAGCACCGGCUAACUACGUGCCAGCAGCCGCGGUAAUACGUAGGGUGCAAGCGUUAAUCGGAAUUACUGGGCGUAAAGCGUGCGCAGGCGGUUAUGCAAGACAGAGGUGAAAUCCCCGGGCUCAACCUGGGAACUGCCUUUGUGACUGCAUAGCUAGAGUACGGUAGAGGGGGAUGGAAUUCCGCGUGUAGCAGUGAAAUGCGUGGAUAUGCGGAGGAACACCGAUGGCGAAGGCAAUCCCCUGGACCUGUACUGACGCUCAUGCACGAAAGCGUGGGGAGCAAACA